rnacentral:rRNA from 1 species
UACGGGGGGGGCAAGCGUUGUUCGGAAUUACUGGGCGUAAAGGGCUCGUAGGCGGCCAACUAAGUCCGACGUGAAAUCCCCAGGCUCAACUUGGGAACUGCGUCGGAUACUGGAUGGCUUGAAUUCGGGAGAGGGAUGCAGAAUUCCAGGUGUAGCGGUGAAAUGCGUAGAUAUCGGAAGGAACAUCAGUGGCGAAAGCGGCUUCCUGGACCAGUACCGACGUUCAGGCACGAAAGCGUGGGGAGCAAACAGG